GACGAACCGGACAAACGUUAUUCGGAAUUACUGGGCUUAAAGGGUUUGUAGGCGGCCUUGUAAGUCAGGUGUGAAAUCCCUCGGCUCAACCGAGGAAUGGCGCUUGAUACUGCACGGCUUGAGGGAGACAGGGGUAAGCGGAACUGAUGGUGGAGCGGUGAAAUGCGUUGAUACCAGCAGGAACACCGGUGGCGAAAGCGGCUUACUGGGUCUCUUCUGACGCUGAGGAACGAAAGCUAGGGGAGCGAACGGG
rnacentral:rRNA from 1 species